rnacentral:rRNA from 1 species
AGAGUUUGAUUAUGGCUCAGGACGAACGCUGGCGGCAUGCCUAACACAUGCAAGUCGAACGGAGUAAUGACUUCGGUUAUUACUUAGUGGCGAACGGGUGAGUAACACGUGAAUAAUCUGCCCUGUACGAUGGGAUAACAGCUGGAAACGGCUGCUAAUACCGUAUAUGACCACGCCGAGGCAUCUCGGAGGGGUGAAAGCGCUUAAGCGGUACAGGAUGAGUUCGCGUCCAAUUAGCUAGUUGGUGAGGUAACGGCCCACCAAGGCGACGAUUGGUAGCCGACCUGAGAGGGUGAUCGGCCACACUGGAACUGAGACACGGUCCAGACUCCUACGGGAGGCAGCAGUGGGGAAUAUUGGGCAAUGGAGGAAACUCUUACCCAAGCAAUGCCGCGUGAGUGAUGAAGGUCUUCGGAUUGUAAAGCUCUUUGAUUGGGGACGAAUAAAUGACGGUACCCAAGGAACAAGCCCCGGCUAACUAUGUGCCAGCCGCGGC